UGGGUUCUGCUAUCACUCUUGGGAUGGGACCCUGCGGUGCAUUAGCUAGUUGGUAGGGGUAACGGGCCUACCAAGGCGAUGAUGCAUAGCCCGAGUUGAGAGACUGAUCGGGCCACAUUGGGGACUGAGACACGGGCCCAAAACUACCUACGGGGAGGGCAGCAGUAGGGAAUCUUCCACAAUGGACGCAAGUCUGAUGGAGCAACGCCGCGUGAGUGAAGAAGGGUUUCGGCUCGUAAAGCUCUGUUGUUGGUGAAGAAGGACAGGGUAGUAACUGACCUUUGUUUGUACGGUAAUCAAUUAGAAAGUCACGGCUAACUACGUGCCAGCAGCCGCGGUAAU
rnacentral:rRNA from 1 species